GCGGAGGAAAAGAAACCAACAGGGAUUGCCCUAGUAACGGCGAGUGAAGCGGCAACAGCUCAAAUUUGAAAGCUAGCCUUCGGGUUCGCAUUGUAAUUUGUAGAGGAUGCUUUGGGGAAGCCGCCUGUCUAAGUUCCUUGGAACAGGACGUCAUAGAGGGUGAGAAUCCCGUAUGUGACUGGAAAUGGCACCCUAUGUAAAGCUCCUUCGACGAGUCGAGUUGUUUGGGAAUGCAGCUCUAAAUGGGAGGUAAAUUUCUUCUAAAGCUAAAUAUUGGCGAGAGACCGAUAGCGCACAAGUAGAGUGAUCGAAAGAUGAAAAGCACUUUGGAAAGAGAGUUAAAAAGCACGUGAAAUUGUUGAAAGGGAAGCGCUUGCAAUCAGACUUGUUUAAACUGUUCGGCCGGUCUUCUGACCGGUUUACUCAGUUUGGACAGGCCAGCAUCAGUUUCGGCGGCCGGAUAAAGGCUCUGGGAAUGUGGCCUCCACUUCGGUGGAGGUGUUAUAGCCCAGGGUGUAAUACGGCCAGCCGGGACUGAGGUCCGCGCUUCGGCUAGGAUGCUGGCGUAAUGGUUGUAAGCGACCCGUCUUGAAACACGGACC
rnacentral:rRNA from 1 species